GGGGCUGUGGCUGAGUGGUAGAGCGCUUGCCUAGCAUGCAUGAGGCACUGGGUUUGAUCCUCAGCACCA
rnacentral:tRNA from 1 species